rnacentral:lncRNA from 1 species
UUGCUGGAACUGACUGUAGGCCUGCUGGAUGCACGAGGCGCAGCUUGUCUGAUCCGACAUGUUGUAGCAGCCAAUGUGGCCGUGAGUGGUGUCGGGGAAAUCACCAUAGCCAAGGCAUGAAGCGAAUCCAUUGGGAGGAUUGUGCUCAUAGAGGAACUGGAUGACCGUCUCCACAUUCUUCUGGAACUGGCUCCCUUGGGUGGUCUUGCGGGUGGCGUUAUACACGACACCAGGUUUGGCGUCGCUGC